GAAAUAUGAUAAACGGGUUAAGGUUAGGGAAAUAUGAUAAACGGGUUAAGGUUAGGGAAAUAUGAUAAACGGGUUAAGGUUAGGGAAAUAUGAUAAACGGGUUAAGGUUAGGGAAAUAUGAUAAACGGGUUAAGGUUA